UCGUCUAGGACACUGUUAUGUUGAAAACAUUUUAUACUGAUUUGAUAUUUCAAAUUCACUUGCAGACAAAUACAUGUUGUCUGAUCCAAAUAAGAUGACCAAUGUUAAUGAAGAUGGUUCCGAUAGCAAUCCAAACUUUGUUGGAUACUCUGAGAACACCAGGAAUGAUAUAUUGCCAACACUUAAGAGGAAAACAGGAGGUUCUGGUUCUAUUGCUGCUCUUAAGGAACUACAGGUCGUUUGACUCUCUGCUCAUUAAACUGGCAGUGUAUAAGCUGUGUGAAACAUACUGCAGUGCACUCUUGAGGGAUAUAACUUAGUUUUUUAAGCUGGGCCAAGUCCUCCAGAUGGUUCAGGAGGCAAGGAGACUUAUGUUCAGAUCAUGGUGAAGCGAGCAACCAAAUCAUCCUCACUUCUUGAUCUGUGCUCCAUGCUGCUCUUCCUUCGAUUGCGGCUCACCUUCUUUUGCUGCUCAGGUGAAAGGAGGCGCUGGGUGGGAGUGAACGGGAGGCCAUGCGGUACAGAUGUAGAAGAGACGGAGUCGGGCAACUACGGUUGGGGCGGCUGUGUGAGGAAGAUAGAGGUGAGAAAGGAAGUGUAGGACAGAUUAGAGGAUAGAAGUUGAGAGAGAUUUAGGCGAUCUUCGGUAGACGAGAAUAUUUUGUUAGAUAUGUGAGCCCAACACAUGUGAUGCUCCAGCAGGUAUGUGAUGCUAAUGCAUAUAUAUAUAAAAAGAGAGGUGUGAUGUGUGAUGUUGCUA